CCGUAGCUCAGCUGGAUAGAGCACCAGACUACGAAUCUGGGGGUCAGAGGUUCGAAUCCUUUCGGGU
rnacentral:tRNA from 1 species